AAUACGUUCCCGGGCCUUGUACACACCGCCCGUCACACCAUGGGAGUGGGUUGCAAAAGAAGUAGGUAGCUUAACCUUCGGGAGGGCGCUUACCACUUUGUGAUUCAUGACUGGGGUGAAGUCGUAACAAGGUAACCCUAGGGGAACCUGGGGUUGGAUCACCUCCUUACCUAAAGCAG
rnacentral:rRNA from 1 species